GGUGCCUUAGCCAAGUGGUAAGGCAAGGAGCUGCAACCUCCUCAGCGUCAGUUCGAUCCUGACAGGCACCUCCA
rnacentral:tRNA from 1 species